GACGAACGCUGGCGGCGUGCUUAACACAUGCAAGUCGAACGGAAAGGCCCUGCUUUUGUGGGGUGCUCGAGUGGCGAACGGGUGAGUAACACGUGAGUAACCUGCCCUUGACUUUGGGAUAACUUCAGGAAACUGGGGCUAAUACCGGAUAGGAGCUCCUGCUGCAUGGUGGGGGUUGGAAAGUUUCGGCGGUUGGGGAUGGACUCGCGGCUUAUCAGCUUGUUGGUGGGGUAGUGGCUUACCAAGGCUUUGACGGGUAGCCGGCCUGAGAGGGUGACCGGCCACAUUGGGACUGGAAUACGGCCCAGACUCCUACGGGAGGCAGCAGGGGGGAAUAUUGCACAAUGGGCGGAAGCCUGAUGCAGCAACGCCGCGGGCGGGAUGACGGCCUUCGGGUUGUAAACCGCUUUCGCCUGUGACGAAGCGUGAGUGACGGUAAUGGGUAAAGAAGCACCGGCUAACUACGUGC
rnacentral:rRNA from 1 species